rnacentral:tRNA from 1 species
GGUACGGUAGCCUAGCCUGGUAUAGCACUCGGUGACUUUUAAACUCUAUGUCGAAGGUUCAAAUCCUUCCCGUACCG